rnacentral:rRNA from 1 species
GGAAUUGACGGGGGCCCGCACAAGCGGUGGAGCAUGUGGUUUAAUUCGAAGCAACGCGAAGAACCUUACCAGGUCUUGACAUCCUUUGACCACUCUGGAGACAGAGCUUUCCCUUCGGGGACAAAGUGACAGGUGGUGCAUGGUUGUCGUCAGCUCGUGUCGUGAGAUGUUGGGUUAAGUCCCGCAACGAGCGCAACCCUUGAUUUUAGUUGCCAGCAUUUAGUUGGGCACUCUAAAGUGACUGCCGGUGCAAGCCGGAGGAAGGUGGGGAUGACGUCAAAUCAUCAUGCCCCUUAUGACCUGGGCUACACACGUGCUACAAUGGAUAGUACAAAGGGUCGCGAAGCCGCGAGGUGGAGCUAAUCCCAUAAAACUAUUCUCAGUUCGGAUUGUAGGCUGCAACUCGCCUACAUGAAGCCGGAAUCGCUAGUAAUCGUGGAUCAGCAUGCCACGGUGAAUACGUUCCCGGGCCUUGUACACACCGCCCGUCACACCACGAGAGUUUGUAACACCCGAAGUCGGUAGGGUAACCUUUAUGGAGCCAGCCGCCGAAGGUGGGACAGAUAAUUGGGGUGAAGUCGUAACAAGGUAGCCGUAUCGGAAGGUGCGGCUGGAUCACCUCCUUU